rnacentral:rRNA from 1 species
GAUGAACGCUGGCGGCGUGCCUAAUACAUGCCAGUCGAGCGAACGGACGAGAAGCUUGCUUCUCUGAUGUUAGCGGCGGGCGGGUGAGUAACACGUGGAUAACCUACCUAUAAGACUGGGAUAACUUCGGGAAACCGGAGCUAAUACCGGAUAAUAUUUUGAACCGCAUGGUUCAAAAGUGAAAGACGGUCUUGCUGUCACUUAUAGAUGGAUCCGCGCUGCAUUAGCUAGUUGGUAAGGUAACGGCUUACCAAGGCAACGAUGCAUAGCCGACCUGAGAGGGUGAUCGGCCACACUGGAACUGAGACACGGUCCAGACUCCUACGGGAGGCAGCAGUAGGGAAUCUUCCGCAAUGGGCGAAAGCCUGACGGAGCAACGCCGCGUGAGUGAUGAAGGUCUUCGGAUCGUAAAACUCUGUUAUUAGGGAAGAACAUAUGUGUAAGUAACUGUGCACAUCUUGACGGUACCUAAUCAGAAAGCCACGGCUAACUACGUG